ACCACAUUAGCUCAACUGGUCAGAGCAUGGUGCUAACAACACCAAAGGCACAGGUUAGAUCCCUAUAUGGGCUA
rnacentral:tRNA from 1 species